CUGGCGGCAGGCUUAACACAUGCAAGUCGAGCGGGCCCUUCGGGGUCAGCGGCGGACGGGUGAGUAACGCGUGGGAACGUGCCCUCUGGUCUGGAAUAACCCUGGGAAACUAGGGCUAAUACCGGAUACGCCCUUUUGGGGAAAGGCUUGCUGCCGGAGGAUCGGCCCGCGUCUGAUUAGCUAGUUGGUGGGGUAACGGCCUACCAAGGCGACGAUCAGUAGCUGGUCUGAGAGGAUGAUCAGCCACACUGGGACUGAGACACGGCCCAGACUCCUACGGGAGGCAGCAGUGGGGAAUAUUGGACAAUGGGCGCAAGCCUGAUCCAGCCAUGCCGCGUGAGUGAUGAAGGCCUUAGGGUUGUAAAGCUCUUUUAUCCGGGACGAUAAUGACGGUACCGGAGGAAUAAGCCCCGGCUAACUUCGUGCCAGCAGCCGCGGUAAUACGAAGGGGGCUAGCGUUGCUCGGAAUCACUGGGCGUAAAGGGCGCGUAGGCGGCGUUUUAAGUCGGGGGUGAAAGCCUGUGGCUCAACCACAGAAUGGCCUUCGAUACUGGGACGCUUGAGUAUGGUAGAGGUCGGUGGAACUGC
rnacentral:rRNA from 1 species